rnacentral:misc_RNA from 1 species
GAAAUGCGAUAAGUAAUGUGAAUUGCAGAAUUCAGUGAAUCAUCUAAUCUUUGAACGCACCUUGCGCUCCUUGGUAUUCCUUGGAGCAUGCCUGUUUGAGUAUCAUGAAAUCUUCAAAGUAAAUCUUUUGUUAACUCAAUUGGUUUCUACUUUGGUAUUGGAGGUCUUUGCAGCUUCACACCUGCUCCUCUUUGUUCAUUAGCUGGAUCUCAGUGUUAUGCUUGGUUCCACUCGGCGUGAUAAGUUAUCUAUCGCUGAGGACACUGUAAAAGGUGGCCAAGGUAAAUGCAGAUGAACCGCUGCUAAUAGUCCAUUGACUUGGACAAUACUUUUAUGAUCUGAUCUCAAAUCAGGUAGGACUACCCGCUGAACUUAAGC